GACGAACGCUGGCGGCGUGCUUAACACAUGCAAGUCGAACGAUGAACCCGGUGCUUGCUCCGGCGGAUUAGUGGCGAACGGGUGAGUAACACGUGAGUAACCUGCCCUUGACUCUGGGAUAACUGCUAGAAAUGGUAGUUAAUACCGGAUACGACCCUCGGUGGCAUCACCAGGGGGUGGAAAGAAUUUCGGUCAAGGAUGGACUCGCGGCCUAUCAGCUAGUUGGUGAGGUAACGGCUCACCAAGGCGAAGACGGGUAGCCGGCCUGAGAGGGGGACCGGCCACACUGGGACUGGGACACGGCCCAGACUCCUACGGGAGGCAGCGGUGGGGAAUAUUGCACAAUGGGCGCAAGCCUGAUGCAGCAACGCCGCGUGAGGGAUGACGGCCUUCGGGUUGUAAACCUCUUUUAGUAGGGAAGAAGCGAAAGUGACGGUACCUGCAGAAAAAGCACCGGCUAACUACGUGCCAGCCGCCGCGGUAA
rnacentral:rRNA from 1 species